AGUAGCCGCGGUAAUACGGAGGGUGCAAGCGUUAAUCGGAAUUACUGGGCGUAAAGCGCACGCAGGCGGUUUGUUAAGACAGAUGUGAAAUCCCCGGGCUCAACCUGGGAACUGCAUUUGUGACUGGCAAGCUAGAGUGUGGCAGAGGGGGGUGGAAUUCCGCGUGUAGCAGUGAAAUGCGUAGAUAUGCGGAGGAACACCGAUGGCGAAGGCAGCCCCCUGGGCCAACACUGACGCUCAUGCACGAAAGCGUGGGGAGCAAACAGGAUUAGAUACCCCUGUAGUCCCUGUCUCUUAUACA
rnacentral:rRNA from 1 species